rnacentral:rRNA from 1 species
UACAGAGGGUGCAAGCGUUGUUCGGAAUUAUUGGGCGUAAAGAGCGUGUAGGCGGCCUUUUAAGUCCUGCGUGAAAUCCUGCGGCUCAACCGCAGACGGUCGUGGGAAACUGGAAGGCUAGAGUGCGGGAGAGGAGAGUGGAAUUCCCGGUGUAGCGGUGAAAUGCGCAGAUAUCAGGAGGAACACCAAUGGCGAAGGCAGCACUCUGGGACGUGACUGACGCUGAGACGCGAAAGCGUGGGGAGCAAACAGG